rnacentral:piRNA from 1 species
UGGGUAAUGGUGACAUUGUGGGCUCACGGCA